CCGGGAAACCGGGGCUAAUACGAUAAUAUUUGAACCGCAUGGUUCGAUAGUGAAAGACGGUUUCGGCUGUCACUUAUAGAUGGACCCGCGCCGUAUUAGCUAGUUGGUAAGGUAACGGCUUACCAAGGCGACGAUACGUAGCCGACCUGAGAGGGUGAUCGGCCACACUGGAACUGAGACACGGUCCAGGACUCCUACGGGAGGCAGCAGCC
rnacentral:rRNA from 1 species